rnacentral:rRNA from 1 species
CGGGAGGCAGCAGUGAGGAAUAUUGGUCAAUGGAGGCAACUCUGAACCAGCCAUGCCGCGUGAAGGAUGACGGCCCUAUGGGUUGUAAACUUCUUUUGAAUAGGAAGAAACUUAUCUACGUGUAGAUAACUGACGGUACUAUUAGAAUAAGGAUCGGCUAACUCCGUGCCAGCAGCCGCGGUAAUACGGAGGAUCCAAGCGUUAUCCGGAUUCAUUGGGUUUAAAGGGUCCGUAGGCGGGUCUUUAAGUCAGUGGUGAAAGCCGACAGCUCAACUGUCGAACUGCCAUUGAUACUGGAGACCUUGAGUACAAAUGAAGUAGGCGGAAUGAGUCAUGUAGCGGUGAAAUGCAUAGAUAUGACUCAGAACACCGAUUGCGAAGGCAGCUUACUAACAUGUAACUGACGCUGAGGGACGAAAGCGUGGGGAGCGAACAGGAUUAGAUACCCUGGUAGUCCACGCCGUAAACGAUCAUCACUCGCUGUUGGCGAUAUACUGUCAGCGGCCAAGCGAAAGUAUUAAGUGAUGCACCUGGGGAGUACGCCGGCAACGGUGAAACUCAAAGGAAUUGACGG